rnacentral:tRNA from 1 species
AGCGUAGCUCAGUUGGCAGAGCAGCUGAUUUGUAAUCAGCAGGUCGUGGGUUCAAGUCCCUCCGCU